AUUGAACGCUGGCGGCAGGCUUAACACAUGCAAGUCGAGCGGGGAAAGGUAGCUUGCUACCUGACCUAGCGGCGGACGGGUGAGUAAUGCUUAGGAAUCUGCCUAUUAGUGGGGGACAACAUCUCGUAAGGGAUGCUAAUACCGCAUACGUCCUACGGGAGAAAGCAGGGGACCUUCGGGCCUUGCGCUAAUAGAUGAGCCUAAGUCGGAUUAGCUAGUUGGUGGGGUAAAGGCCUACCAAGGCGACGAUCUGUAGCGGGUCUGAGAGGAUGAUCCGCCACACUGGGACUGAGACACGGCCCAGACUCCUACGGGAGGCAGCAGUGGGGAAUAUUGGACAAUGGGGGGAACCCUGAUCCAGCCAUGCCGCGUGUGUGAAGAAGGCCUUUUGGUUGUAAAGCACUUUAAGCGAGGAGGAGGCUACCGAGAUUAAUACUCUUGGAUAGUGGACGUUACUCGCAGAAUAAGCACCGGCUAACUCUGUG
rnacentral:rRNA from 1 species